CAGUAGCCGCGGUAAUACAGAGGGUGCGAGCGUUAAUCGGAUUUACUGGGCGUAAAGCGUGCGUAGGCGGCUUCUUAAGUCGGAUGUGAAAUCCCUGAGCUUAACUUAGGAAUUGCAUUCGAUACUGGGAAGCUAGAGUAUGGGUGAGGAUGGUAGAAUUCCAGGUGUAGCGGUGAAAUGCGUAGAGAUCUGGAGGAAUACCGAUGGCGAAGGCAGCCAUCUGGCCUAAUACUGACGCUGAGGUACGAAAGCAUGGGGAGCAAACAGGAUUAGAUACCCGGGUAGUCCCUGUCUCUUAUAC
rnacentral:rRNA from 1 species